rnacentral:rRNA from 1 species
GAAAAGAAACCAACAGGGAUUGCCCCAGUAACGGCGAGUGAAGCGGCAACAGCUCAAAUUUGAAAUCUGGCUUCGGCCCGAGUUGUAAUUUGCAGAGGAAGUAUUUGGCGCGGUGCCUUCCGAGUUCCCUGGAACGGGACGCCAUAGAGGGUGAGAGCCCCGUCUGGUUGGACACCAAGCCUGUGUAAUACUCCUUCGACGAGUCGAGUAGUUUGGGAAUGCUGCUCUAAAUGGGAGGUAAAUCUCUUCUAAAGCUAAAUACCGGCCAGAGACCGAUAGCGCACAAGUAGAGUGAUCGAAAGAUGAAAAGCACCUUGAAAAGGGGGUUAAACAGUACGUGAAAUUGUUGAAAGGGAAGCGUUUAUGACCAGACUUGUGCCGUGUGGCUCAUCCGGGGUUCUCCCCGGUGCACUCCACACGGUUCAGGCCAACAUCGGUUCUCGUUGGGGGAUAAGAACAGUAGGAACGUGGCCCUCUUCGGAGGGUGUUAUAGCCUAUUGUACGAUACCUUGAUGGGGACCGAGGACCGCGCUUCGGCUAGGAUGUUGGCGUAAUGGUCAUUAGCGACCCGUCUU